AUUGAACGCUGGCGGCAGGCCUAACACAUGCAAGUCGAGCGGAUGAAGGGAGCUUGCUCCUGGAUUCAGCGGCGGACGGGUGAGUAAUGCCUAGGAAUCUGCCUGGUAGUGGGGGAUAACGUCCGGAAACGGGCGCUAAUACCGCAUACGUCCUGAUGGAGAAAGUGGGGGUUCUUCGGACCUCACGCUAUCAGAUGAGCCUAGGUCGGAUUAGCUAGUUGGUGGGGUAAAGGCCUACCAAGGCGACGAUCCGUAACUGGUCUGAGAGGAUGAUCAGUCACACUGGAACUGAGACACGGUCCAGACUCCUACGGGAGGCAGCAGUGGGGAAUAUUGGACAAUGGGCGAAAGCCUGAUCCAGCCAUGCCGCGUGUGUGAAGAAGGUCUUCGGAUUGUAAAGCACUUUAAGUUGGGAGGAAGGGCAGUAAGUUAAUACCUUGCUGUUUUGACGUUACCAACAGAAUAAGCACCGGCUAACUUCGUG
rnacentral:rRNA from 1 species